rnacentral:lncRNA from 1 species
CCCUCCGCUCCGGGUUUGCAAUAGGUCGGCUCCGGCGCGCCGUGCCGAGCGGGGCCGGAGUGUGCGCGGUGUCUGUGCCGGCUCCGCUCCCCCGCCUCGCCAGCUCCUGCGGCCGCGGCAGCUGCGGCUUUGGGGGCGGCUGGAUCCGAGGGGAAAAUAAAGUAAAAAAAAAAAAAAGCUAAACCCAAGAAGAAGAAAAAAAACCUGUGCAGGAUCCGCCUCGCAUACGACAUCCACUUUGCAUGAGAAAGGUGAAGCUGACACGGUGAUUACUUUCCAAUCACUCGGAACGCCUUGAAACCUCCUUAAGGACCCCUACAGGUUCUCCUUGAUCGGCACAGAUUAGAAAAAGCCCCAUUUGUUUCUCUGUCCUUCUCUCUUUCCUUCCUUUCUGCUUUCCCUCCCGUUGCCCUCUGUUGAAAGUUUAACAAGAUCUUUUCUGUAGAAGGCGUCAGCCUGCCCUCCCUCGCUCAGCACAAUAAAGGAGCAGACCCAAGGGAAGUGUGACCCAAGCCCGGCAAGCCCCAGGAGCAGGAGCCUUCUGAGGAGCUGGGAUGCCUUUCAGACAAAAAAGGCCAAGUCUGCUGCCAUGGAAGUCCCCAUCAGAACUCUUGCUGCCUUACACAGAGUCAGCACUUUGUAGCUGGAGAGGGGAUGUUCAAAUGCAGCUUUGGAGGCCACAGUGCCAGCACAGCUCAAGGCCUGGUUUGGAGUGCUUGCUGAGUGAAAUGUGGAAGAUCCAUCCCAAAACCCCGAGAGUAUUUAGAAGGAAACACCGUAAUUGAGGUUUAUUUCUCUUCCAAUCUCAGACCCCUCCAGAAGGGUUUGUCACACACAGACCCAGAGCCCAUGGGGCUCAGCUGCCAGCUCCACACUCAGUGCCUGGGCUGGCUCAACCAGGUGAUUUUGGCUGUGCCAAACAAAGCUGGAAAUGCUGUAUCCUCAACCAGACGAGCUUGAAUGACAAGUGACUCGUAUUAGGAAUUCCUUCUGUUCAAUCAACUCCCCUUGAUGUGAGAUAAAGAGACUUGAUGAAAACAGACAGAAUCCAGUUCCAGUCUCCUCUUGGGAGGAGUGAAGACCUUUUUUACAUAGGGACAAAUUCAUUCCUGGCAUAAGGCUUUUUACUGGAGUGGAAUUAUAGCAGGGAUGAAAACAGGUCAUCUUGUUUUGUACUACAUGCUUCACAUCAGUGAUGAAAUAAACUGGAUCUCAAAGGAGAGGUGAUAAAAAGU